AAAACUUGAACUGCGAACUGGCUUCCGUUCGCCCUCCUCCUCCUUCCUCCGCUCCGAGCCUCCGGAGGGUGUCUGCGUUUCAAUCCGAAUCUUGCCUGCUCUUCUCCCGCGCCUGUCUUCCUUGUCCUAAAACUUCUCCAGGUAGCUGCCUACAUCUCGCGGCUUGGAGCUGCGUAGACGUCCAUCUGCCCCCAACCGCCAGGAUCCGAGCUGCAGAGGCAAACUCCAUUCGAUCGCACGCCCUCCCUGCUCCGCUGACCGCCCAGCCCCUCCCCAAGCCGCAUCCAUGAGGUCCUGGUAGAGACUCCAGCGGACGAUUGGGCUGCCUCUGACACAUUCCUGGGAAGACAGAAGAAAGGAAGGAGAGGGAAGGCGAUGGAGGAGUGGCAGAAGAAGACCGAAGAGUACAACUUACCUUUAUGAAUCAUGAAUGUGGUCUUACAGCGAGGGAAACUGAGGCCCAGAGAGGAAAAGUAAUAGUCCAAGGUCACAAAGAAAAAAUCCUCACGUCUGCAUGUCUUAGUUCAUCAGUGGCUCUUCUUGUCUUGGCAUCACUUGGCAAGUCACUCUGGCCCUCUGGGCCUCAGUUUCCUUAUCUGUAAAAUGGGGCUAAUUAUAUCAACCUCCCACAGUUUUUCAACAGGAGACAGAAGAUGACUCAGGAGAGAGACUUCAUUCUAAUGCUUGGCACAGAGCUGGUGCCCAAUAAAUAUUAGAUUUCUUCAUUCCUCCUCGGCCUAUUUGCUUCCUGGCAGCAUUUGGUCCAGAGUAGGGGUGACGUGUCUGCUGAUUGUCAUGGUCUAUGCUAGUGGUCUCCAAUUUUUAUUUAUUUACUUACUUAUUUUUUUGCUGAGGAAGAUUCACCCUCAACUAACAACUAUGCCAAUCUUCUCUAUUUUUUGGUACGUAGGCCGCCGGCACAGCAUGACUGCUAACAGAGCUGUGUAGGUCCAUGCCUGGGAACCAAAUGUGGGCUGCCAAAGCAGAGUGUACCAAACUUAACCACUAGGCCACUGGGGCUGGUGCCUCCAAUUUUUUUUUUUUUAAUGAAUCAUUUCCAACAUUAAAAAUUGGAGAGAAUGGUAGAAUGAACUUCCAUAUAGCCACCACUUUGAUUCAACAAUGAUCAACUCAUGGGCAAUCUUGUUUCAUGAAUACCCCCAGUGGAUUGUUUGAAUGCAAAUCCAGGCACUAUAUUAUUUCAUUUGUAGACACUUUCAUGUGCAUCUCCAAAACAGAAGAAUGAAUUUUUUUGAAAAACACAACUAUAAUACUCUUAUCACACGCACCCCCAACUCAGUGAUUGCCUAACCUUACGAAAUAUCCACUUAGUACUCAGUGUUCCCUGAUUGACUCCAUUCUUCUUAUUUUAUUACAGUUGGUUUGUCCCAGUCAGGAUGGGGACAAGGUGUCUACACUGUGCAUGAUCCACCUCCCACUUUUUUUUCCUUGAAAAGAAAUUUUCAUUGAAAGAAUGGAAUCACUCUUGCUCUUACCAUUUGCAUCCCCUAAGUGUCACUUGUUACGUUUCUCUGUCCCCUGUAUUUCCUAUAAACUAGCUAGAUGUUUGACGAGACUCAAUGUUGAUUCUCUUCGCAAGCCCACUUCUAGACGACAGCAUGUACUUCGAUCUCAAUAUCACUUUUCUUUCAUCUUGGCUUGGUAGCAGCCACUGAACACCAUUUUCUGGAUGGAUCCAGUAUUUCAUUAGGGCUUUGCAAAACGGUGAUAUUUCACUUCUUUCAUUUCUUCUUCUUCCAGGUGGAAUACUCCCAAAUUUCUUUGGAGGACGUCACAUCUUUACAAACUAAGAGUUGAGUAGAAACUGCCCAAUAUCUAUAUAUUUUCACUUUUCUAACAUAUACCUCUUCUGCUGAAUUGACAUAUGAUUUAUUAUUGAACUGUACUAAAAUGGAAAUUAAAAAGAAAAGCAUUUAAAAAUAAA